AUGGCAAACCGUUUCGAGGUUUAUUUAGCAGUCGACAUCUCUGUGAUCACAUCAACAAGCGGAAGACAAAUCAGUUUAAUGUUUGGAUGAAGGAAGUCUCUUGAGGUUUCGACUCCAUGCCAUAUCCGGUUCAGAAAUCAAGAUAAAGUUAUUGUUGUUUGUGUUCUUCUACACCGCCGUUUGAAAACGAUGGCUUGUCGGAGUAAGUGUGUGACAAGAUCUGUGCUCACCUUCUCCAUAUACAUCUUUACUUUCCACGUAGAUUGUUGCGCGUGGGAAUUGCAGACUGUCAGCCAGAAUAUUAUUGUGGAAAAGGGAGUGGAGUCCAACAUUGAUUUCUACCUCACUGAUUACCGAUCUCUGAAUGUUAGUCUACGGAUAAUUGUCCAACAUCGGUCGACUGAUGGGUUUUCAUCAAUAAAUGUCAGAUCGAGCACUCAGACACAGGAGUUUGUCAUCUGGCGGCAGUCGGUCCAUGCGAUUGUGUGGGUGAAAGUUCAGGGUCAUAUCGAUAUCGACUGAGGAUGAACUUUACAGAACAAGAUGGUGGCCAAUGGGUGUUCCACAUUGUCAACCACGAGAAAACGUCUGUUAACAUAACAGUCAUGCAACCUUCACAGGUGACUGUCAUCACACCUUCUAGCACAGGAUACACAUUAUUAACCGUAGCUCUCACCAGCCUCGUCCUCUUCAUCAUCAUCAGCAGCAUCAUAUCGUUGGUCGCAGUACUUCGAUGGCGUUCCAGGUCCCAACGAGCUCUUGUGAGAAAACAGAACAGAGGGUUACUGUAGCAGAAAGUCGUUCACGGAAAUCUCAACCAUCUGAUGAUUCUGCUUGGGUGGAACAAGUUCAGUGCGAAGUGCAGAGUUCAAUGACCGUGACCUCAUGUGACAUGCAAACAUUUCGGGUUUCUUGAAGGAGGAGGUAACACCUGAAGUCCAAUGAGACUUGACACGAAGUUAGUCACCUCCACGGUCACAGCAGCACCAUCAUCAGAACUACCACCGAGGCUGCACACAUCAUGUCUAAUAU